rnacentral:rRNA from 1 species
UGGGGAAUAUUGGACAAUGGGGGGAACCCUGAUCCAGCCAUGCCGCGUGUGUGAAGAAGGCCUUAUGGUUGUAAAGCACUUUAAGCGAGGAGGAGGGUACUGGUAUUAAUACUACCAGGUACUGGACGUUACUCGCAGAAUAAGCACCGGCUAACUCUGUGCCAGCAGCCGCGGUAAUACAGAGGGUGCGAGCGUUAAUCGGAUUUACUGGGCGUAAAGCGUGCGUAGGCGGCUAAUUGAGUCGGAUGUGAAAUCCCCGAGCUUAACUUGGGAAUUGCAUUCGAUACUGGUUAGCUUGAGUGUGGGAGAGGAUGGUAGAAUUCCAGGUGUAGCGGUGAAAUGCGUAGAGAUCUGGAGGAAUACCGAUGGCGAAGGCAGCCAUCUGGCCUAACACUGACGCUGAGGUACGAAAGCAUGGGGAGCAAACAGG